rnacentral:rRNA from 1 species
UACGGGGGGGGGCAAGCGUUGUUCGGAAUUACUGGGCGUAAAGGGCUCGUAGGCGGCCAACUAAGUCAGACGUGAAAUCCCUCGGCUUAACCGGGGAACUGCGUCUGAUACUGGAUGGCUUGAGUUUGGGAGAGGGAUGCGGAAUUCCAGGUGUAGCGGUGAAAUGCGUAGAUAUUGGGAGGAACACCAGUGGCGAAGGCGGCUCACUGGACCGGUUCUGACGCUGAGGCGCGAAAGCGUGGGGAGCAAACGGG